rnacentral:lncRNA from 1 species
AAUACAGAAAUUAAACUUUUUCUCACUUGGAACAAAGGUUUAUUCCGAAUGCUUCAAUCUUGCGAUGAAAUGAACGGCGCUGUCUCUCGCCGGCAAGGUCGUAAUCAUGGCGACGGUCUGGUGCAGCGCUCGUGGGACAGUACGCAUCACUCGUCAUUGUUGUCGGACAACUCCUUAUCGCUGUCAACGGCCCAAAGCAUUUCAUCUUCGGUGCCGUCCAUAGCGUUAGGAAUUCCGCACUUCUUGAAGGCCUUGAUAACCUUGGCAGUCGGGAUCGUGCACCAUGCAUCUUUCACCCAUCGCACGUGAUGCGGCCCAAUUUCCAUCGCUCUCUGCGUACAAUAUCCCUUUUCUUUUGAAUCCAGCAUCAUGGUGAACGCGGUGGCCUGAUGUACUAUGAGAGGACAAAGAAGCCAGAGCCUGAACGUCGCCCGAUCCUGGAGCUCCAGACGGUAGUCCGCGACAUCUUAAAAGACUUCUUGCCUGAUGUUGCGAGGCAGGGCAGAAGGAGGGUCGCUCCGAAAGAAUAAAAUGGCAGUGAUUCCUUA